AGUGAACGCUGGCGGCGUGCUUAACACAUGCAAGUCGAACGAGAACGGAUUAUAGCUUGCUAUAAUUGUCAGCUAAGUGGCGCACGGGUGAGUAAUGUAUAGGUAAUAUGCCUCUUACUAAGGGAUAACAAAUGGAAACGUUUGCUAAUACCUUAUACUCCUUAUUAACAGAAGUUAAUAAGUGAAAGAUUUAUUGGUAAGAGAUUAGCCUGUAUUGUAUCAGUAAGUUGGUGGGGUAAUGGCUUACCAAGACUAUGACACAUAACUGGUUUGAGAGGAUGAUCAGUCACACUGGAACUGAGACACGGUCCAGACUCCUACGGGAGGCAGCAGUGGGGAAUAUUGCACAAUGGACGGAAGUCUGAUGCAGCAACGCCGCGUGGAGGAUGACACAUUUCGGUGCGUAAACUCCUUUUAUAUGAGAAGAUAAUGACGGUAUUAUAUGAAUAAGCACCGGCUAACUCCGUGCCAGCCGCCGCAGUAA
rnacentral:rRNA from 1 species